AUUGAACGCUGGCGGCAGGCCUAACACAUGCAAGUCGAGCGAGCGGCGGACGGGUGAGUCAUGUAUAGGGAACUGCCCGAUGGAGGGGGAUAACUACUGGAAACGGUGGCUAAUACCGCAUACUAUCGGCUGAACCCAUAUGGGAUUAGCUAGUAGGUGGGGUAACGGCUCACCUAGGCGACGAUCCCUAGCUGGUCUGAGAGGAUGAUCAGCCACACUGGAACUGAGACACGGUCCAGACUCCUACGGGAGGCAGCAGUGGGGAAUAUUGCACAAUGGGCGCAAGCCUGAUGCAGCCAUGCCGCGUGUAUGAAGAAGGCCUUAGGGUUGUAAAGUACUUUCAGCGGGGAGGCGUUACCCGCAGAAGAAGCACCGGCUAACUCCGUGCCAGCAGCCGCGGUAAUUC
rnacentral:rRNA from 1 species